rnacentral:rRNA from 1 species
CAUGCGAGUCGAGCGGUACAGAUCCAGCUUGCUGGAUGCUGACGAGCGGCGGACGGGUGAGUAAUGCAUAGGAAUCUGCCCGAUAGUGGGGGAUAACCUGGGGAAACCCAGGCUAAUACCGCAUACGUCCUACGGGAGAAAGGGGGCUUUGGCUCCCGCUAUCGGAUGAGCCUAUGUCGGAUUAGCUAGUUGGUGAGGUAACGGCUCACCAAGGCGACGAUCCGUAGCUGGUCUGAGAGGAUGAUCAGCCACAUCGGGACUGAGACACGGCCCGAACUCCUACGGGAGGCAGCAGUGGGGAAUAUUGGACAAUGGGCGCAAGCCUGAUCCAGCCAUGCCGCGUGUGUGAAGAAGGCCCUCGGGUUGUAAAGCACUUUCAGCGAGGAAGAACGCCUAGCGGUUAAUACCCGCUAGGAAAGACAUCACUCGCAGAAGAAGCACCGGCUAACUCCGUGCCAGCAGCCGCGGUAAUACGGAGGGUGCGAGCGUUAAUCGGAAUUACUGGGCGUAAAGCGCGCGUAGGUGGCUUGAUAAGCCGGUUGUGAAAGCCCCGGGCUCAACCUGGGAACGGCAUCCGGAACUGUCAAGCUAGAGUGCAGGAGAGGAAGGUAGAAUUCCCGGUGUAGCGGUGAAAUGCGUAGAGAUCGGGAGGAAUACCAGUGGCGAAGGCGGCCUUCUGGACUGACACUGACACUGAGGUGCGAAAGCGUGGGUAGCAAACAGGAUUAGAUACCCUGGUAGUCCACGCCGUAAACGAUGUCGACCAGCCGUUGGGUGCCUAGCGCACUUUGUGGCGAAGUUAACGCGAUAAGUCGACCGCCUGGGGAGUACGGCCGCAAGGUUAAAACUCAAAUGAAUUGACGGGGGCCCGCACAAGCCGUGGAGCAUGUGGUUUAAUUCGAUGCAACCGCGAAGAACCUUACCUACUCUUGA